UAGGGAAUCUUCGGCAAUGGACGGAAGUCUGACCGAGCAACGCCGCGUGAGUGAAGAAGGUUUUCGGAUCGUAAAGCUCUGUUGUAAGAGAAGAACGAGUGUGAGAGUGGAAAGUUCACACUGUGACGGUAUCUUACCAGAAAGGGACGGCUAACUACGUGCCAGCAGCCGCGGGUAAUACGUAGGUCCCGAGCGUUGUCCCGGAUUUAUUGGGCGUAAAGCGAGCGCAGGCGGCUAGAUAAGUCUGAAGUUAAAGGCUGUGGCUUAACCAUAGUACGCUUUGGAAACUGUUUAACUUGAGUGCAAGAGGGGAGAGUGGAAUUCCAUGUGUAGCGGUGAAAUGCGUAGAUAUAUGGAGGAACACCGGUGGCGAAAGCGGCUCUCUGGCUUGUAACUGACGCUGAGGCUCGAAAGCGUGGGGAGCAGACAGGAUUAGAUACCCCUGGUAGUCCACGCCGUAAACGAUGAGUGCUAGGUGUUAGACCCUUUCCGGGGUUUAGUGCCGCAGCUAACGCAUUAAG
rnacentral:rRNA from 1 species